rnacentral:rRNA from 1 species
GUGGGGAAUAUUGGGCAAUGGGCGAAAGCCUGACCCAGCAACGCCGCGUGAAGGAAGAAGGUUUUCGGAUCGUAAACUUCUAUCCUUGGUGAAGAUAAUGACGGUAGCCAAGAAGGAAGCCCCGGCUAACUACGUGCCAGCAGCCGCGGUAAUACGUAGGGGGCAAGCGUUGUCCGGAAUGAUUGGGCGUAAAGGGCGCGUAGGCGGCCCGGUAAGUCUGAAGUGAAAGUCCUGCUUUUAGGUGGGAAUUGCUUUGGAUACUGUCGGGCUUGAGUGCAGGAGAGGUAAGCGGAAUUCCCGGUGUAGCGGUGAAAUGCGUAGAGAUCGGGAGGAACACCAGUGGCGAAGGCGGCUUACUGGACUGUAACUGACGCUGAGGCGCGAAAGUGUGGGGAGCAAACAGGAUUAGAUACCCUAGUAGUCC